GACGAACGCUGGCGGCGUGCUUAACACAUGCAAGUCGAACGGAAAGGCCCUGCUUUUGUGGGGUGCUCGAGUGGCGAACGGGUGAGUAACACGUGAGUAACCUGCCCUUGACUUUGGGAUAACUUCAGGAAACUGGGGCUAAUACCGGAUAGGAGCUCCUGCUGCAUGGUGGGGGUUGGAAAGUUUCGGCGGUUGGGGAUGGACUCGCGGCUUAUCAGCUUGUUGGUGGGGUAGUGGCUUACCAAGGCUUUGACGGGUAGCCGGCCUGAGAGGGUGACCGGCCACAUUGGGACUGAGAUGCGGCCGAGACGACUACGGGAGGCAGGAGUGGGGAAUAUUGCACAAUGGGCGGAAGCCUGAUGCAGCAACGCCGAGUGCGGGAUGACGGCCUUCGGGGUGUAAACCGCUUUCGCCUGUGACGAAGCGUGAGUGACGGUAAUGGGUAAAGAAGCACCGGCUAACUACG
rnacentral:rRNA from 1 species